GUCAAAAACGAAAAAUCCAAUAUGAAUAAGCUCUACCAGGAGCCACUAACGGCAUAUUCAACUCAAUUUUCUUGCUUUUCAUCCACCUCUCCUCUCGUUCUGACUCUCCAUCUCCACUGCAAUGCAGAUUUUUCUUCAUUUUAUAGAAAACCAUGGCUAAGAUGUAGAAGGAAGGUAUACCCACCGAGAUCUAUACACCAUCAAAGAAUUUUAGACUAUUUAUGCUACUAUUUUUACUGUUUCUUCUUACAUGUGAACCGGAGUUUUUACCCACUAAGAAAGUUGGUGUGGCAGGCAGGCAUCAUCCCUUAACUGAGAAGGCUGUGCGGAGGAGAAUGUGAAUGGGAGAUUAAUUACAGGAAGAAGCGACAUAAACAGAACCCCAAGGAAACAUGUAAAUUGCAGCAAC